UUUGCUCACCAGCACACGCUGGAUGCAAAAUUAAACCGAGGAGACUGCCGGCAGCUGCCCAGAAGAGUAUUUUCCUAAGAGUCCGAAGAGUGUCUUCUCUGCCACCAAUUUCCUGUGUGACUUGGCGAGGAAAUGCUGCAUUACUUCCAAAUGAGAGAAUGGGGAGGCGAAGGACGGGGGAGAAGAGAGGGGGGGAAAAUAAAGCUCUUGGACAUGAUAAGAGAGCUGAAACGCAAGAACGUUUCCCCAGACUUACUGUUGC